rnacentral:lncRNA from 1 species
AGGAGUUGUGAGCGGCUGGCGAUGGUCGGUGUACGGCGAGGCAGAUGGAGACCUAAGAGGCAUUGGGGAGAGCUGAUUAGGCAUGACAUGGCUAGAAUGCGGGUUUCUGAGGACAUGGCCCUUGAUAGGAAAGUAUGGAGGUCUAGUAUCAGGGUUGUAGGAUCGGGGCCCCUAGAGUUUUUUGUACUCCUCACCCGGGGUGGGGUUGGGUUAGGCUUGGCAGGGCUAUCCAUAGAUGAUUUGUGUAUUGGAUUGUGUCUCCCUUAUGGUAGUUAUUUAUGGUAGUUACUGUCUGAUAUUAUUGCAUGCG